rnacentral:rRNA from 1 species
CUCCUACGGGGGGCAGCAGUGAGGAAUAUUGGUCAAUGGGCGAGAGCCUGAACCAGCCAAGUCGCGUGAGGGAAGACGGUCCUAUGGAUUGUAAACCUCUUUUGCCGGGGAGCAAAAAACGGUACGUGUACCGCAUCGAGAGUACCCGGAGAAAAAGCAUCGGCUAACUCCGUGCCAGCAGCCGCGGUAAUAUGGAGGAUGCGAGCGUUAUCCGGAUUUAUUGGGUUUAAAGGGUGCGCAGGCGGCGAGUUAAGUCAGCGGUAAAAUUUCGGGGCUCAACCCCGACAAGCCGUUGAAACUGGCUU